UACAUAAAAUAUGUCAAAAUAUUGAUAAUUUCUGAAGCUAGGUGAUGGGUAUACUGGUCUCUCUACUUAAAUAUAUGGCUGGAAUUUCCCAUAAUAAAAUUUGUCAUUAAAAAAAAAUCUCCUUUCCCUUCUUCAGGAGACACAUGGCCUCAGAAAACCCAGCCACCUCCUAUAUGUCAGUGACUAUUACCCUGGGGCAUCAGUGAGCCUGUCCUUGAUGGGUUAACCACAGACACUGCUUCCCACCCCACACUGACUUUUACAGUCUCUUUCUCCCAUUAUACACCACAAAUAGCUAUUACUUACCGGGUCCUUAUUAUACGCCAGGCACACGUGGCUUCUUUAAUUUUCAUGACAACCCAUGAGACAACGGGGUGGGCGCUAGUCCACACCCUCAGGUGAGGGUACUGAGGAACAGAGUUCUGUAGCUAGAAAGUAGUAGGGCUGGGGUUCUCAUUUCAAAGUGCCUGUCCCUAGUCACUGUAUUCCUUACCUACCCAAAAACUGCAAAGAAUCAUGAUUUCACAGCGAGUAAGGCAGACCGUUAAGAAUGAGAGAAAUAGUGUAAAGGAUCUCUCAGGAUCCUGGGCACUAAGGUGAACCUAUAUCCCAGAUUUCCCGAGGCACUGUGGUCUCAAAUAUUCUGACACUCUACCCUCUCCAUAAGCACAGACAUUUAUCACGUGUCCUGACUUUUGUUUAAAAAACAGGGUCAGUAGACCUGUAGGGAAAGGCCCAACAAUUAAACCACUGAUGGGCCUGGUGACGGAGUCUUUCGGUUCUGGGCUGCUCAGAACACUGGGCACAUGACCUCAGCCCUGCUCUCCCUCCCGGAACUGUCAUCUCAAACAAUCUGACAUUGUGACCUCCCAGCAAUCCCCACCUCAAAAGACUGGGACCAACUGGAACGAGCAGGAAGACAAAAGACAAAAACAAAACAUGACCUUCUCUGAGUUGAGAUCACAGCUGGAAAGACAAAACAGAAUCUUGUGGGGCCUCCAGAGAGGACCCAGAGGCUUCAUGUUUGGUUUUCUUUGUCCUUUACGUGGAUUUUACUUUCCUUGCAGAUCCAAAGCUAGGACCUGCGAGUUGUGCGACCUAGCCCAGGGCUAAGACUGAACAGUAAAAGCACCCAAGUAAAACCAAAGGGCAGGGGAAACGUAAUUCUUUUGUGUCCUUAAAAAAGCUUGGUGAAUUUUAAUUCCCUUGUAUCGACUGUCAAAGCCAUGGCUCAGAUUCCAUGGGGAGAAUGGAAACCCAAAUUAUCCAAAUCUCCAGGGACUUUGGAAAUGAAAGCAUGUCAUUGGUCUCUGCCUUGCUGUGAUACCUGGGGUUAUACUAGUCUGCAGGGAGUGCUCUCCCAAGUCCAGCAUCUUCAAGACAUCACGGUUUUGAACUCAUCAAUCGCCCUGCUUAAUCCUUUCCCUGCCCUGGGGAUGCUGGCAAGGGAGCUGGCACUGCUGCUAGGCUUGUAUCGGCAUGCAAGGGGAGCUAAAAGGUCUCUAAAUGGGAUCUGGAGCAAGUUGCCUGCUGCCAAGCCAAGGCCCAGAGGCUCUUCUGACAGAAGUACGUGGUGGAAGCUGCAGCUGUAAGACACGGGAUAUUAAGGGAAGAUACCAGCAGGUUGAACCUCAGCUGCUAAGUCACCUUGUACUUGUACCUCGCAUAAAGAUGUAGAAGAAUGAGCAGAAAUGAACUUGCAGAAUGGUUCUUAACUUUUCAAAGCAUUGCUUUGACAGGUGUUAUUUCUCUUGUUACCCUCUCACUAUCCCUGAGAUUGAGGACAAGUGAUAUAAUUCACAAUGACCAGACAAGAAAGCUCGUCCCAUCUGUGACUUGAUUAGAGAAACAGAACCAAGUAGGUCAGACCUGGGCCAAGAUCCCUGAUCUGCCAACAUCUAAAACUGUCCUCUUUCCAUUAGAUGCUUCAGUAAUGGUGGUGCUACCAGGCUAGCCUAACACAGAUACAGCAUUGAUGUGGUGUUGAUGGAGAAAUGAUAAAAAGGAUGUGAGCUGGGGACACACUCCAGCUCAAUUGUUGGUUUCAUUUUUCAUCUGGAAAGCUUCAAACACACAUUAGUAGGGAGAACAGUACAAUAAAUCCCCAUGUGCCCUCCACCGGCUACAAUGAUUACCAGCUCAUAGCCAGUUCUCUCUUUUCUUUUUUUUUUCCUUCAUAGCCAGUUCUCUUGAUGUCCACUAGUGCCCAGCAUGCUAAACUGCUUGGCAACAAAGAGUCAAAUGACUGGCUUGGCCUUGGCACCUGCUUUGGAACUCCCUGAGCCCUCCAGCAUCCUGGACUGACGUGGCCACAAGGGCCAGUAGAGAUACGCUUCCGAGGCAAGGGCUGUAGGUAGGCUGGUGGUGAAAAGAAGGCACAGGCAGUCAUUAGGUGACUUCCUGUCUCAGAGAAAACACAAACUUGACCUGGGAUAGCUCUGGCAAGUUUAGGGAUUGGACUAGAAAUCGACAAAAUGCUGAGAUUAAAUUUAAUUCAACCAACUUCUGUUAAGUGCAAGGCUGUGGCUUGUGAGGCUCAGGUCUCCACUCUGAAUGUCCUGGAACUUUCCUGCAGAGGGGGCCAAUCAAUCCAAGUGCCUAAAAGAAAGAGGUCUGAGGUCGCUACAGGAGGCAUCAGAAGGUAACAGGGACUUUGUUCCGGGUACAAUUUCCACCAGGCUCUCAUAUGGCAUUUAACUAUGGCUCACUCCCUGAAUAUGAGCACCUUUUGUGAUUUCCACUUGCGGAUCAUAGGCUACCACCAUCUUCUGAAAGUGCUCUGCUUGACUAGGCUGACCACUUGCCCAACUGUAGACAAGGAACAGCUCUGUGCCUCCUUUCUGAAGAUGGAGUCCGGGGGGUGGGGGAGGGGACACAGGGGGCACAGCUUCCUCUGAUCUCACACUGUCACCUGAUUAAGCUGACAGCAUGCAUUUUGCCUCUUUUGAGGGCUGAGUAAGCAUCACAUUUCACUACGCUGGGGAGGACAGGAAAAGGUGAGCGUGUCCCAGCCUUCCAGGAUCUAAAUACCAGAAGGAGCUGAGACAACCAGGAAUAGCAUCCCUUGAGACAAAACCAAUAAAGAGAAACAGCAGAGCGUAUACUUAAGAUCCAGAAUCCUGGUGCCAGACAGGCCUGGUUUUGAACACUACCUCAAGCACUAAUUAGUCCUGUGAUCAUCAACCGUUUGCUUAACUUCUCUGAGCCUCGGUUCCAUUUUGAAAUUGAGGGCAGUAAUACUUGAAAGGGAGAGCAAUAAUCUUGGGUUGAACCAUAAGAAACUGUCAACAUUUAACCAUUUCUUGACCUUCAAAAUUGGCAUUUCAUAGACCACGCUAUGUUGGAUUUUUUUGAAUUAAAGGAAAUAUUAUAAAAGCCUGGCACAUGGUAAGCACUCAAUAAAUGACAGUUACUAUCAACAAACAAAAGGCAAACCCACGGUGUUCUGUGCAUACAAAGAAAUGCGGCCCACAGAUAUGCUCACCAUCAGAUCCACCUCAGAGAGGAGGUCAGGGGAUUUUUAAAACUUAUUUUAUCUCUUUAUUUUUGAAUACUGAACAAAGGAGUAUAUGGUGCAAAGCAAGGCUUCUUCCCACCCUGUACUCCAACAAUAGUUCUCCCCAGAGGCAACCACUGUUACAGGGAUUUGUGUCUUUCAGAGAUGUUCAGUGCACAUACAAGCAUUCAUAUAUACAUUACACACAAAUGGUAGCAACUAUGCAUACUCUACUUAAUAUAACUCAGAGAGUUUCUUAUAUCGAUAUAUGUAUAUAUAUAUAUACACACAGAUAUAUAUGUGUAUAUAUACAUGUUAUAAAUAUACAUAUAUACAGGUAUAUAUACGUAUAUAUAUAUAUAUACCUGCCCCAUUUUCCCUCCAUGCUUUUUAAUAGCUUUAAUGUAUUCUAUUGUGUGGCUAUUACAUGAUUUCAUUUGAGCCCAUCUUGAUAGACUUUUGGAUUGUUUGAAAUCUUUUGCUAAAAUAAUGUUGCAAUGAAUAGCUAUCAUUUCAUGCACAUCAGAGUUUAUCUGAAGGCCAAAGUCCCAGAAAUUGAAUUGUAGGGCUAGAUCAUACAGAUUUUUAAAUGGCCAAAUAGUCCAAAUUGCCCUCCCCUGAGGCUAAUUCACACUCCAGCCAGCAACAAGUGCCUGUUUGCCUGUCACAGAGGUCUGUUUUGAAUUUGUUUUUGAAGAAGGGAGAGAUGGUUCAGCUGGGUCGGCCAGAGCAUGCAGGACAGUGGCUCAGCAGCCACCCCGCUGUGAAGUCACAUGUGGGAACCUGGCAUCUUAGCAUCAGUGUGUAGAAAGCACUCUUCAACCCACAAGGAGCAGAGUUCCACACACAGAAACACAACCUCAUAGAGGGAGGGGAAUAGUAAAGAGCGCUCCUCCCAGGAGCAAAGUGGGAGGUAUAAUCCCUCUUCUAUAGCUGGUGACUUCUGGAGAGGGCAGAGGGGAAGCCACAUUUUCUCAGCUCCGGUGUUAGUUUCAGUGAGUUUGGGACCACAGUGUGUAAGCCACCAUAGCCCAGCUCUGAGCAGGCUCCCUCAGCAGAUCAUGGGAAGGAAGGUGGUAGGUGGACAGUGGAUCACACCCCACAUUUGGAAUUUAGGGUGCUUCCGUUUUGAGUCUUGCCUCUUCCACUUUUCAGCUAUAUGACCUUGGGCAAAUCACAAUUUCUCUCAGUCCUAGUUUCGUCCGUUAUAGAAUGGGGACAAAACACUGGAAGUGAUGUUCUGUAAAAUGUCAAGUGAUGUUACCAUAUACACAGUGUCCGCGGCACAGAAGACCGUGCAAAAAAUUUAAUGAAGGAACAAACGACUUUUCCACUUAAAUUGUUAUUCAAGUGAUCUUUUACGCAGAGGUUUUAGCUGGAACUAAGGCUCCGUCCGGAAGUUUUAUGAGGUGUAUUCAUAGUAAAAGUUUAUAGAAGAGACGUCCCCUGGCAGGGACAAACCCAACAGAGAGCGGAUUCUACUCCCAGAUGAGGGACUUCAUUGCCUCUGCCACCUCUAUUAAGGCCGCCUGCGCCCCGGUGACCGAUUCCUCUCUAAGGCUCCUAGGACACAAAGCUCUUGGUGUCAUUCGGCGCCCAACUGGUUUUCUUUUCUGUUUGACUGAACUGCCCCUAGGAGUUAAGCUUAAUCCAUAAGGACCCCUAAGAGAGCCACCCAGAAAUCACAGAAGGGAUAACCCGAGAUGAGACGGGGACGGGAGCGGGAGGUGGGAGAGCGAGCGAGAGCUCAGGCAACGCAGUGGAAAGCUUGCAAGUUCGCUCCGAGGGCCCUUCCCGGGAGCAACUGGAUCGAGCCGGUCCCAAAUUCCGGAUCCUCCCUAGGAAGGCUACUUCUCGCCUCGCGGCGCGGGUCCCCCGAGCCCGACCCGCGGCUCCCGGCGCUCCCAGUCGCUGGAGUUCGUUUGCAGGCUCUCGGUCUAGGCCUGAACAGAAAGGCAGACGUCACCAGGGUCCAUUUCUCCAAGGAAGCUUUAGAAGUCUCACUCCAGGCGGUGGUAAAAGAGCCCCUGGCUGCACCCCAGUUUUGAAUCUGAUUCUCUGCAGGUGAAGUUGCCCAGCUAAUAAGCUCCCCAGAUCACUCCUCCCCAAACACAACUGCUGUUGUACUGUGUGAGGAAACAAAAUGUGGCAAGUGUGAUGGAUGAACUUGGGGCACAGGCUUCAGAACCAGACAUACCUACCGUUGAACCCAGCCUCUUCCCAGUGGGGGACAUGGGGAAGAACUGAUGCAGUUACCACCUGUUUCCCCACAAAUCAUGUGUCCAGAGCAGCUGUGGGCUCCAGAGCCAGAGAAAGCCGGGGAGGGGAGGGGCUCUGCAUUUGGAAAACAGAGAUCAGAAUGCUUAUCUUUGAGGGUGCUUGCAAAGGUGGAGAUAAAGGUAUAUGAUGGGCACCUAGUAAGUGUUCCUAGUUAAGGGAACUUGAAGGUAUAAAGGGAUAAAGGAAGACAUGCAAAGACUAGGGACCUGGAAACUAACUACUAAGAGAAAUAGAUAAAAGGAGGGCCUGGUGGAGAAGGAUUCCAAUGAGAAGGUAGGCAGUGAUUCCCCAUCUAGCCUCACGUCAUAAAAUCCUGGGGGUGCUUAUUAAAAAUAUGCAUUCAGGCCCUGGGCAUUGGGAGUGGCAGGCUCAAGGGUCUGUAUUUUCCUGCUUCUUAGGACCCAUUGGGUGCCUGGUAUUGACUGGUUUGUGAUGCAUCACAUGCCAACACUCCACUACAGCCCCAGAGGGGAACACGGGGUAGAACUGAUGUAAUGACAACAUAUGUCAAUGCAAAAUGAUCUGUCCAGUGCAGCUGUGGGCUCCCUAAGCAAGAGAGGGCCGGCGGGAGAGGAGAUGGCAGGGAUGGAGGAAGGGAAGCUGAGUUGGGAGCUGACGGAGCUCAGGGAAUGAGAACCUGGUAAACCCAGCCAUCUCACUGGGAUUCUAGAUCAUUUGAGAACUUGCAACAGCAUGGUUUGAAACCAGCUGUCUUAUGCCUCCAUCAGCUUCUAUAACAGGUGAAAAAAAUGGCUGCUCACAUCAAGGGGCAGGAGGAGCUAGACAGGGGACCAGCUCCAAGCAGCUGGCAGUUGCUAGAGCAGUCUGAGAGCCCCUUGGCUUCCCCUCUGAGCAGAUGCUUCUUCUGCCCGGAAGGGGCCUAGGGACUGGGUGGGUGGGGACCCACACAAAGGGCUGGGAGUAUCCUCUGCUUCAAGGUUACCGCAUUCCCUUGCAGGCCGCCUUCCAGGGUGUGGCCGCUGUAAGAGUGGGCCCACAAGCGCCCCAGAAUUCACAGAGAAGGGAAGGCGUGAAAUACCUGAAGGAAUGAGAAGACAGCCAUUGCAGCUCUUUCUCCAACCCCCGGUGGUUUAGAAUGAAACCAGUAGGUCUCCUUUGAUCAGUCAGAACUUUGCCUCCUUAUGCUUCUGGUCGUCAUGCUCAGGUUCAGGGUUUUUACGAGUGUCAGGACCCAUAUCCUACUGGGAGCUCCUGUUGCCAGCUCCCUUCUGUGAAGGAGGAUUAGUUCAGAUGACAAAGCCUGCCUUCCCUCUCAAAGUCCUGUGCACGACCCAGGACCUGCUAGGGCGUCGCAGGCUUUCUCUCAGCGCCAUCUGGUGGUGGGCAUGGCAUGUUUUCCUAAAGGGCCCGGUGCCCCUCAUUCCUACGCCCAGCCACACCUCGGACCGGAUCCGUUUUCCUCUGAUCUGACCACUGCAGGCUUUGGUCAUUUUGAAAAGUGGUAAUUAAUGAGGCUUUAAGCUUUGCCUAAAGUGGAGACUUUAAACUCUGUGUCUUUUGUCCCUGUUCAACUCUACAUAGUUUCAGGGAAGGGAAUUGGAGAAUUUAGUGGAGAGUUAAAAGACUAAGAUGAAGUAAGGAAAGAUGGAAAGAACAUUCUCCCCCACCCAGCUGUGAAUGCUUGGCUCCAGCAGUGCACAGACCAUCACCUUGGCACUUAUCCCAGGCACCUCUCACCCAGCCGUACCAUCAGAGCAGGGCACAGGAAGAAUCUCUUCUGCACAAAGUCCAGGUCGAGGAUUAAGAAUCAUCAGAGAAAGUGAUGGGACAUGGAUCUGGAACCAGACUGCUCCACUCCGAGCGCUGAGGGAACCCAUGUUCUGGGAGCUCUCCUCAUGCAGAAGCGAGCUUUGGAGUUUUCUGAGAGGUUGUAUGGACAGUCCACCUUUCCAGAAAGGAGUAUCCACAUUUCCAGGUUCUGAGUUUCCUGGUCCAGGUCAGGAAUAGGGAGCACUAGCCCCUUCCCUCUUACAGAGUGGGGUCCACCCAAAGGAAUCAGGUAGAACCAACAGACAGGUCUUGUAUGUGAGGGGAGGUCAGCGAUGGAGCAGAACGCACCUAUUCCUAGGAUGGAAAACAAACAGACAUUGCUGUGGGGGUGAUACGUGACUGCUGCUCCUUCCAGACACGUGUUGUCCCACUGGCCACUGGGAAACAUUCAGAUGGCUUCUGGAAUGGCCUGACCCUGAAAGCAGGAAUUUCCCUGCAGGGCCCAGGGUGUUGUGCUUCUGUGGACCCAGGAUCCCUGGAACAAAGACACUCAUGGUUCUUUUGGGAAGCAAAAUAUUCAUUCUGACUAUUCAGAAUGAGAAAUUUCCCUGAGUAUACUUGCCACUCAAGCCAGUAGAAGAGUAAUAUACAUUAUGUACACUAUGUAGUAAUGUAUCUAAGAUUGGAAACCAUUUAUAGAGGUGAGGAUCACUAAAAAUUUCCUAGGACCUUUUCCUUCACUCCAAUUUCCUGUUCUCACUGACAGAGUUUUAUGAUUCUUGUGCCUUUCCUUGAGCUACAUCAUUCAAUAUUUUUCUCAUUAUGGUUGAAGUGACUGUAUGGCCCCCAAUAUUUCCAGCAGCAGUAAUAACAAAUUUUAAAAAGAUACAACCUAAAUGCCCAUCAAUUGGGACCUAGUAUAUAAAUUAUUAUGAUUCAUCUAGAAAAUAAAGUACUAUGCAGCCAUUAAAUUUAUGGUGAAGAAUUAUUUUUAUUGACAUGGAAAGAUAUUCAUUACUUAAUGUCAAAUGAAACAAUUUCUAGAAGAGUAUGUAUAACAGGGUUUACUUUAUGUACAACUACAUAACUCUCUCUGUAUAUCUAUGUAUAUAAAUAGAGGUAGUUUUUUUCCCUAUACAUAAAUGGUGAUAUCUUGGGCUGUAGAAAUUUGGUGUAACGUUUUAGCUUCUGCUUUGUUCUUUUCUAUAUUAUGUGAAUGUUUUAAAAGGAGUAUGAAUCAUUUUUCUAAUAAAGCUAUUAAAAUGUUUUUAAAAUAUUGAUCUCAUCAGUAAAGUAGAAAGCUGAGAUGUGGGGAAGUCAACAACUAACUCAAUAAAGCCACAAUCUGCCAAAGAGGCAGAAUUUGCCCUCAUGACCUCCCAUCCUUCAAGUUUAAUGCCAUCUCACUGCCUCCAAUUGGUGAAGAUCGUGGGCAGGGAUAUAGCAAGUGGGGAGCUGGGGACCAAUGCUGAGAUCAGAGGGGACUCACAUGCUUUGGAUAAUUCCUGGAUCCUGUUACCUCUUCAGAGCAACCGAGCUCAGACCACAACGGCAUUACUGGAUUCCUAUUAUAUACUGUGUCCUUGUGGUCUGGUAGCUGUCCAGGUCUUGAAGGAACAGACACAAGUCUGGGGACAGAGUUAAGUUGGGUCUAGUUCUAAUCCAAGCCCAUUUUACAUCCUGCAAGGGAAAUGACAUAUUCCGCCAUGGUCUCCAGUUGAGGAAAGAAGGAAUGUGAUGCUAGUUCGGUGUAGUCCGGAGGCUUGAGUUUGUGAAGUUCUGGGCGGGGGGAGCAGCUUGGUGGGUGAUUUCAAGGAGAAAGUUUGGAGCCCCUCCUCCUCCUCCCCCUUCCUUCCCUCUACCCCUUCUCACUCCUCCACACCCACCCACAUUCAUCCACACAUCUUGACUGUAGCACCAGAGACCCUCGUGGCCCUUCCUUUGACAUUCGAGAGUUUGGGGCCAACAGCCAGCUUCAUUCAGCCUAGUGAACAGUAGCAGUUGGGACACGGGGUGGGACCCAAGGGACCCAGUGUCUUCUUACAACAUGAAUUUGGAUUUAAAUAGUAAAAGCUCCAGGAUAUGAUGUAGUGUUAAUCUCCCAUCAUGCAAAUGCCCAUAACAGCACUUACCAGGUCAAGACAAGGCCCCCGAGCAACCAGGCCCCUUCUCAGCCUGUGCACUCUGAACAGACCUGUAGUCCCAGGACAAUGCACUCAUCCUCUCUGUGGUCUUCCUUUGUGUCAUCGGGAACCCCACUCUUCUUCCUUCCCUGUUCCUAGACCCCUCUGCUACCUUCCCUGGGGAGGUCACCCCUCUAUACCUGGCAUUACUGCUCACAGAUAUGAAAGAAUCCACCAAAGAUGGAUUCCUAAGUCUGCAUCUUGUUGAAGGGCAUAAGAGAAAGCAAACCUUGACCUAAGCCGGGGGCAAGAAAGAGGGGCAAAGAGCCUUUUGACAGGAAGGAGUGUGUCAAUUUGCAAAUACUAGUCAAUUUUGAGCCAGUGCCUGAGAGUUUACUUUAAAAAUCAAGUGUGGUCGAGAUAAAGCCUAGCAUGGCAACUGCUCCAUCUGAGAACACAAAUUAUCACAGACCUUCCACGGCACAGGAGGUACAAAACUGCAGUCAUGAGGAGCAGGGGUAAUCCUUUGUCAGAGACUGUUGGGUAUUGUUCCCAUACCCACAUGUGUAGGUCACAGUCUUGUUACCUCCAUGACCCUAAUCCUUAGCACAGUGGAUGGUACAUUAAUGAUUGUUGAAUUGAAUAAUAACUUCCUUGAAGUCAGGAGUCCAGUCCUCACAACAGCACAGUAGUAGGGGAGAGAAGACAUUUAAAUACAUAACAUUAAUUAGCUAGCACUGAGACUCCUAGGACACCUCAACUAAACUAAAUCCCCAGACAAGAUGGAGUCCCUGAGAUCACUGACCUCUCAGACAUACGCAGCUUUUCCUGAAGGGGGCAGAGUUCUCCUAGAAGAGCCAGGACAAAGGGUAAAGAACUGAAACAGAUUUUAGCCGAUCCUUGGUGAUACAAUCUGGA